rnacentral:tRNA from 1 species
GGGCUUGUGGCGCAACGGUAGCGCGCCUGCAUGGCAUGCAGGAGGCUGGGGGUUCGAAAGCUUUCGCUGGCGCG